rnacentral:rRNA from 1 species
CCUACGGGGGGCAGCAGUGGGGGAUAUUGCACAAUGGGGGGAACCCUGAUGCAGCGACGCCGCGUGGGUGAAGGAGCGUUUCGGCGCGUAAAGCCCUAUCGGCAGGGAAGAAGAUGACGGUACCUGACCAAGAAGCCACGGCUAACUACGUGCCAGCAGCCGCGGUAAUACGUAGGGGGCAAGCGUUAUCCGGAUUUACUGGGGGGAAAGGGGGCGCAGACGGCAAUGCAAGCCAGGAGUGAAAGCCCGGGGCCCAACCCAGGGACUGCUCUGGGAACUGGAUGGCUGGAGUACAGGAGGGGCAGGCGGAAUUCCUAGUGUAGCGGUGAAAUGCGUAGAUAUCACGAAGAACCCCGAUUGCGAAGGCAGCUUACUAGACUGUGACUGACAUUGAGGCUCGAAAGUGUGGGUAUCAAACAGGAUUAGAUACCCGGGUAGUC